rnacentral:rRNA from 1 species
UUUCGCCUACGGGAGGCAGCAGUGGGGAAUAUUGGACAAUGGGGGGAACCCUGAUCCAGCGACGCCGCGUGAGUGAAGAAGUAUUUCGGUAUGUAAAGCUCUAUCAGCAGGGAAGAAAGAAAUGACGGUACCUGACUAAGAAGCCCCGGCUAACUACGUGCCAGCAGCCGCGGUAAUACGUAGGGGGCAAGCGUUAUCCGGAUUUACUGGGUGUAAAGGGAGCGUAGACGGCAGUGCAAGUCUGGAGUGAAAGGCGGGGGCUCAACCCCCGGACUGCUCUGGAAACUGUACGGCUGGAGUGCGGG